rnacentral:lncRNA from 1 species
CGAAAAGCACUCAAGAGAUGGUGAGUGUAUAUACCCACCAAGUCAAUGCACCCUUACAGUUCUAGAGAGGAGAAGAGCUGAUGCAAACACUGUGACACACUAUUUUCUGGAAAGUGUUUCCAAUUGCUCAGCUCCAGCAGCCUCCAAAUUUCUUUUGGAUAAAUACCCAAAAGUGAGGAAUGGAAGACGUUUCCUUGGAUUAGCUAUUUGGAGCCAGGCAAACCUCAAACUUUCCCACAAGCACAUAGAAAAGGAUGUGUACUCUUGGUGUAAGUGCAAGAGACACAGUGGAAAAUCUGGCUUUCUGCACUGUGGGGCUGAGACACACAGCAUAGAGGCAUGGAGGUAAUUAACAGCAUAUCCAGUGGGACAUCAUUGAAGAGACACACCUGUGGCAUACACCCUACAGGAGAUUACAACAGAGGGAACCAAAGCUCCCAGAAGUUAACUAGUGCUUUUGUCCCUGGACUUCAAGACUUCACCUAUAAAAAUAUAGCACAAGCUUGGCUUCCAUUUAUAAAGUGUAAGACCUUCAUAUUUUAAGCAUAUAAAACACUUAAUGUUUCAAUUAUUAAGGAUGAUAGACUGCUUUCUGAGAAUUUUUUAAUAUUAUAUUAUAGAUAAUAGUUGUUUAUCCAUCAGUGCCCCAAUAGACUUUGAACUUUUGAGGACCAGAUGAUAUUUAUCUUUGAAUAUUCAGCUUGCUAUAGUGCCUAGCAUAUGAAAGGCAGUAAAAUGUGUCCUGAUCUACUGGCUGAAUGAAUACAUGACUGAAUGUAAUCAAUGUAUAACUCAGCUACCUAAAGGCUUACUGUGAGGGUGAAUUUUAUGUGUCAACUUGACUGACCAACUGAGUGCCCAGAUAAUUUGGUUUAAACAUGACCUCUGGAUGUGUCUGUGAGGCCGUUUCUAAAUGAGAUUAACAUUGGAAUCAAUAGGCUGAGUAAAGUAGAUUGCUCUCUCCAAAUGAGUGGUCUCCAUCCAAUGCACCGAAGGCUUGAAUAGAAGAAAAGACUGAGUUUAAACAAAGUCCUUCUUUGUACUGACUGUCUUUGACCUGGGACAUAGGUCAUCUCUUGCCUCAGACUCAGACUUGAACUUUGACUGAAACUUACACUGUCAGCUCUCCUGGUUCACAGGUCUUCAAACCAGGGCUACAAAUAUACCAUUGGUUCUUUUGGGUCUGGGCUUUGUAGCUUCAAUAAUUAUGUGAGCCAUUUUUUAAUAAUAUCGAGUAGAAGAGAUU